UUUUACUUUUACUUGCAGUAAAAGUAGCUUCUAACAAAGUGCAUGUAGUGGUGUAAACGAGCCGAACACGAGUAAGCUGGUUAAAGUAUCGAGCCAAAAAAUUCAGCUCGUGUUUGGCUUAUGAGCUGGCCAACGAACAAUAAGUUAAAAGGAUUAGAUUGAGUAUAUAUAAAAAAUAAAUUUAUAAAAUCUUAUCCAGUAAACCUUGAUCUAAUAGUUGAAAUUCUACAUAUAAAUAAAUUUUUUUAUAAUUGAGCUCAUCUUUAUAUUUUUAUUUUGCUAAAAAAUAAAUAAUAAAAAUAUAUAUUAUAUAU
rnacentral:lncRNA from 1 species